rnacentral:rRNA from 1 species
AGGAUGAACGCUAGCGGCAGGCUUAAUACAUGCAAGUCGAGGGGCAGCGCAGUGUAGCAAUACAUGGGCGGCGACCGGCAAACGGGUGCGGAACACGUACGCAACCUUCCCAAAACUGGUGAAUAGCCUUCCGAAAGAGAGAUUAAUACACCGUAACUUAAUGAAGUGGCAUCACUUUAUUAGUAUAGCUCCGGCGGUUUUGGAUGGGCGUGCGGCUGAUUAGGUAGUUGGCGGAGUAAUAGCCCACCAAGCCUACGAUCAGUAACUGGUGUGAGAGCACGACCAGUCACACGGGCACUGAGACACGGGCCCGACUCCGACGGGAGCAGCAGUAAGGAAUAUUGGUCAAGUGGACGCAAGUCUAGAACCAGCCAUGCCGCGUGGACGGAUGAAGGUCCGUCUGGAAUUUGGUAAACUUCUUUUAUACGGAACGUAACGAAACCCUAGAC